rnacentral:rRNA from 1 species
UACGUAGGGCGCAAGCGUUAUCCGGAAUUAUUGAGCGUAAAGAGCUCGUAGGCGGUUUGUCGCGUCUGCCGUGAAAGUCCGGGGCUCAACUCCGGAUCUGCGGUGGGUACGGGCAGACUAGAGUGAUGUAGGGGGAGACUGGAAUACUUGGUGUAGCAGUGAAAUGCGUAGAUAUCAAGUGGAACACCAGUGGCGAAGGCGAAUCCCUGGAAAAUACCUGACACUGAGGCACGAAAGCUAGGGGAGCAAACAGG